AGUGAUUAUUCUUUACCACACACGGUUUUUGUAUGGAAUACUGUUUUAAUGUUGCAGUACCUGGGGUACUUUGAGGUACAGUAAUGACAUUCAGUGUUAAAACGCACUCAAUUGGAACAGCUAGCUGUUUGCUUCAAUAGACAAAGAACAAAGUGGUUUACAAGGCUGAAGAACCUUUUGAAUGGAUGAUCAUACAAGCAGCCUUUCCAACUGCAAUAAACUGCUGAUGUGCCCUUUGCCAUAGAGAACCCAACUCCACUCUGCUUCGCUUGCUGGACUGUUUGCUGCGGUCUCAAUACUAGAGCGACCUUUCUCCUGGUAUGGCACUCUAUACAGAGGUGGAUCAGAAACACUCAAAUAUACUUAACCCUGAACAAUCCUGUGCAUCCCCAGAGAUUUCUGAGCCCUCUCCCAGUCUCCCUGCCCCUAGUAUCUCUUCAGAAAAUGAAUGGGAAAAUACUUCAUAAUUAAAGUGCAUGUGCUCCAGUUUAAUGUUUCACCAC